CAGCCGCCACGGGAAUACGGAGGGGGCUAGCGUUGUUCGGAAUUACUGGGCGUAAAGCGCACGCAGGCGGCUUUGUAAGUCAGAGGUGAAAGCCCGGGGCUCAACCCCGGAAUUGCCUUUGAGACUGCAUCGCUUGAAUCCAGGAGAGGUGAGUGGAAUUCCGAGUGUAGAGGUGAAAUUCGUAGAUAUUCGGAAGAACACCAGUGGCGAAGGCGGCUCACUGGACUGGUAUUGACGCUGAGGUGCGAAAGCGUGGGGAGCAAACAGGAUUAGAGACCCCCGUAGUCCCUGUCUCUUAUAC
rnacentral:rRNA from 1 species